rnacentral:rRNA from 1 species
UGCUUCGGGUAGACUAAGCCAUGCAAGUCGAAUGGAAUCGCUGAUUCCAUGGCGAACUGCUCAGUAACAAGUGAUCAACUUACCCUUCAGUGGGGGAUAACCUCGGGAAACUGAGGCUAAUCCGCCAUAGUUGGCACAUCCUGGAAGGGGGUGCCCUCGAAAGAUAUUUCGAAAUGCCGAAUGUUCGCUGAAGGAUAGGAUCGCUUUCGAUUACGGUAGUUGGUGAGGUAAUGGCUCACCAAGCCUCUGAUCGAUAAGGGCCGUGAGAGCGGUAGCCCUGAGAUGGAUACUGAGACAAUGAUCCAGGCCUUACGAGGCGCAGCAGGCGCGAAACCUUUACAAUGCACGACAGUGUGAUAAGGUUACCCGGAGUGCUAAGAGAAAACUUUUAGCUGUUAUAGGUGUGUAAAUAACCCUAUGAGAAAGGAGAGGGCAAGGCUGGUGCCAGCCGCCGCGGUAAAACCAGCUCUUCAAGUGGUCGGGAAUAUUAUUGGGCUUAAAGUGUCCGUAGCCGGUUAGAACAGUUCCUGGUAAAAUCUGGCAGCUUAACUGUCAGGUCGCUAGGAAUACUAUCUUACUAGAGGGUGGGAAAGGUUUGGGGUACUCCAGGGGUAGCGGUGAAAUGCGAUAAUCCGUGGGGGACCACCAGUGGCGAAGGCGCCAGACUGGAACACGCCUGACGGUGAGGGACGAAAGCCAGGGGAGCGAACGGGAUUAGAUACCCCGGUAGUCCUGGCCGUAAACGAUGCGUGCUAGGUGUUGGUAGGGCUCUGAGCCGUAUCAGUGCCGUAGGGAAACUGUUAAGCGCGCCGCCUGGGAAGUACGCUCGCAAGAGUGAAACUAAAGGAAUGGCGGGAGACC